rnacentral:rRNA from 1 species
UGGAUGAGUGGCGAACGGGUGAGUAACACGUGAGUAACCUCGCCCCCUUCCUUUGGGAUAACGCCCGGAAACGGGUGCUAAUACUGGAUAUUCACUGAUCUUCGCAUGGGGGUUGGUGGAAAGGGUUUUUUCUGGUGGGGGAUGGGCUCGCGGCCUAUCAGCUUGUUGGUGGGGUGAUGGCCUACCAAGGCUUUGACGGGUAGCCGGCCUGAGAGGGUGACCGGUCACAUUGGGACUGAGAUACGGCCCAG